rnacentral:lncRNA from 1 species
UAUUGCAAGGCAAGAUGAAGAGCCAUAGUUACCUGCCAGAAGAAUCGUAGAGACUGAUUUACCAGGAAAAAUGGAAAGAGGAAUGAUUCUGAGACUCAAGAAAAGAUAAAGAGAUACGUAUAAAGGCAAGAGGCUGAGGAAUGGCAGCCACCCUAAAGGAGGAUGAGGAAAAACUGGACUGGGGUGAAGAGCAACUGUUCUGCAGCUCGAGGAAGACCCUGGAGUGGGGCCUGUUAACCCAUGGUUAUACCAAGAGACAGAGUGGUGGAUUUCCAGCACUGCAGACAUCAAAGACAGGACAGGUGCUACAGUGUUGUUGGGGCUCAUCAGGUGCAAGUUGUUGUCAUAUACUACUGCCCUAAUCAAGGGAGCUCUGAUUCAGCAGAUGAAAAGGAAAACACAAACAGCAGGCCUGGAAGAACUGACCAUUGAAAAGCUCCAGGCUGUUUGCGCAGAUACAUGGGACCCCACAAGUCCAAACACCAUAAGUAACAUCUGGAUAGAUAUGCUGCAGCUCACCCAUGAGGAGGUCAGGUGUGGAGAAAUGAGUGGAUCUGAGGGGAAUCACCUGAAGUCCCUCCUGUAUUAUCGCUUUGAAAAAGGACUAUGAGAGCUGAAUGCAGCAUUCCAGCUGAGGAAGUCUGUAUCCAUUCUACUGCAUACGGAGAGGGUAGUUCCACUGAAUCAUUCAUAAAUAGCUCUGUACCUUUUCCUCAUUAAUUAAAUUAAUUUAAAACCUAAGACUGUGGAACAAUAGUAGAAUUAUUUCACAUGUUGAGUUUAUAAGGAUAUUUCUUCUAAACAAUAAAAGCAUUUGAAAAUAUAGCUCA